GAUUUAUCCACACAGAUUCCCUGGUGGUUUAGGUGGAUCGAAUCCAGGCCAGUCCUACCAUGGUUUCAUCAAGUACUCCAUUCCUCAGCCACCUGGCAGGCAGAGUGUGGAAGUUUACUACCCCUAUGACUUCGCUCAGCAGAGGAUAAUCACAAACCUCCCACCGAUGACAAACGUCCCUCAGACUGUUCCCUUUGAUUAUCCUCCUCAGAAUAUUCCAAACAUUCCCCAGCAAAACCUGAAUAUUCCAUCAUUUGAUGCCAACCCUAUGCCAUCCCAGGAUCCUCUGCAGCCUCUCCAGGACCAGCCCCCACAGACAAGCCAGAUGCCAGCGAAGGUGUAAAGUCGAUGAAGGAAACGAAAAGGAAGCACAACUUUUCCUUCCACCUUAACAUCCAGACAUGACCUUUACCUGAUUAGGACUGAAUAUCUUUUUUAUAUAUUCUUACUUAAGUUAACAUAAAAAUGCUAUGAUGAUCAUAAAAUAGCUUUUUACUAAGAAAACCGUUGAAAUAGUGAACCACAUUAUGAUACGAUCAUCUGCAUAGAAUGAAACAGUUCUGAGGAAUGAUCUGCUUCAUUUUGUAGUUGUCAAGAUUAACAAUAACUUAUUGUAGACUUGUGUAAACCUUCAGCAGCCACCUUCCUCUGUCCACUGUCAA